UUUGAUGGCGACCGGCGCACGGGUGAGUAACACGUAUCCAACCUGCCGAUGACUCGGGGAUAGCCUUUCGAAAGAAAGAUUAAUACCCGAUGGCAUAGUUCUUCCGCAUGGUAGAACUAUCAAAGAAUUUCGGUCAUCGAUGGGGAUGCGUUCCAUUAGGUUGUUGGCGGGGUAACGGCCCACCAAGCCUUCGAUGGAUAGGGGUUCUGAGAGGAAGGUCCCCCACAUUGGAACUGAGACACGGUCCAAACUCCUACGGGAGGCAGCAUG
rnacentral:rRNA from 1 species